AACCAGCACCUCAAGUGGUCAGGAGGAUUAUUGGGCCUAAAGCAUCCGUAGCCUGCUCUGUAAGUUUUCGGUUAAAUCCAUGUGCUCAACGCAUGGGCUGCCGAAAAUACUGCAUAGCUAGGGAGUGGGAGAGGUAGACGGUACUCGGUAGGAAGGGGUAAAAUCCUUUGAUCUAUCGAUGACCACCAGUGGCGAAGGCGACUCUCUGGGCCAAUACUGACGCUGAGGUUCGAAAGCGUGGGGAGCGAACGGG
rnacentral:rRNA from 1 species